AGUGAACGCUGGCGGUAGGCCUAACACAUGCAAGUCGAACGGCAGCACAGUAAGAGCUUGCUCUUACGGGUGGCGAGUGGCGGACGGGUGAGGAAUACAUCGGAAUCUACUUUUUCGUGGGGGAUAACGUAGGGAAACUUACGCUAAUACCGCAUACGACCUACGGGUGAAAGCAGGGGAUCUUCGGACCUUGCGCGAUUGAAUGAGCCGAUGUCGGAUUAGCUAGUUGGCGGGGUAAAGGCCGACCAAGGCGACGAUCCGUAGCUGGUCUGAGAGGAUGAUCAGCCACACUGGAACUGAGACACGGUCCAGACUCCUACGGGAGGCAGCAGUGGGGAAUAUUGGACAAUGGGCGCAAGCCUGAUCCAGCCAUACCGCGUGGGUGAAGAAGGCCUUCGGGUUGUAAAGCCCUUUUGUUGGGAAAGAAAAGCAGCAGGUUAAUACCCCGCUGUUCUGACGGUACCCAAAGAAUAAGCACCGGCUAACUUCGUG
rnacentral:rRNA from 1 species